rnacentral:rRNA from 1 species
UGUAGGUGAACCCUGCAGAAGGAUCAUUGUCGAAUCCUGUAAGACAGAAUGUCCCGCGAACAGUUGGAUUUGUACCAUUUCGAGGGGGUACCUCGUCGGUUAGCAUCGCCGAGGUGUCUCGAUCAAAACUGAAAAAACCCGGCGCGGCUUGCGCCAAGGAAAUUUUUAAGGAAAGAACGCGUCGGGGCUUGUAAAUCACCCCGAUGGCGUCGAUUUCUGAUGAUUGUUGAACGACUCUCGGCAACGGAUAUCUCGGCUCUCGCAUCGAUGAAGAACGUAGCGAAAUGCGAUACUUGGUGUGAAUUGCAGAAUCCCGUGAACCAUUGAGUUUUUGAACGCAAGUUGCGCCCGAGGCCAUUCGGUCGAGGGCACGUCUGCCUGGGCGUCACACAAACGCUGCUCUCAUCCCCUUUGGCGCGAGAGCGAACGAUGGCCCCCCGCGGCUCGGCCGGCGGCCGGCUAAAAUAGCUCGCCUUCUCGUGGCUUCACGACACGAUUGAUGGUGGUUGACAAAACCCUCUCUUGCAACGUGAUCGGAAGCAGGAGGCGAGCGAACCCUUUCAUCACAUGCGACCUCAGGUCAGGCGGGGCCACCCGCUGAGUUUAAGCAUGGA